GCCAGCGUAGCUCAGCCUGGUAGAGCACUCCCAUUUGGUGGCUCAGACGCCUCGUAAGCGUGGGGUCCCGCGUCCAAAUCGCGGCGCUGGCU
rnacentral:tRNA from 1 species